UGGGGAAUAUUGGACAAUGGGGGGAACCCUGAUCCAGCCAUGCCGCGUGUGUGAAGAAGGCCUUUUGGUUGUAAAGCACUUUAAGCGAGGAGGAGGAGCUCUAGAUUAAUACUCUAGAUGCUUGGACGUUACUCGCAGAAUAAGCACCGGCUAACUCUGUGCCAGCAGCCGCGGUAAUACAGAGGGUGCAAGCGUUAAUCGGAUUUACUGGGCGUAAAGCGUGCGUAGGUGGUCUUUUAAGUCGGAUGUGAAAUCCCUGAGCUUAACUUAGGAAUUGCAUUCGAUACUGGGAGACUAGAGUAUGGGAGAGGAUGGUAGAAUUCCAGGUGUAGCGGUGAAAUGCGUAGAGAUCUGGAGGAAUACCGAUGGCGAAGGCAGCCAUCUGGCCUAAUACUGACACUGAGGUACGAAAGCAUGGGGAGCAAACAGG
rnacentral:rRNA from 2 species